GCAGCUGCCUCUCCCACCCGCUGCUGCUCUCUCUGGUGACAGCCCCUGUCUCACCCUCCAGCAGCCCGCAGUGCCUUGCAGCACAGAUGUCUGCUUUCCUAACUCUUCCACCCCCUGAAUGCUGUCAUCUUGUGUUCCUUCUCCCGAGGGACCUUGGGCAAGUCCCAACCCCCCACUCUAGGUUCUGCUCCUCGCUGGGUUGUCCUCUCAUUCUCUCAGAUAGAUUUAUAACUUAUGCAAAUAAAUGCAGGUGAUUAGGCAGAUGAUUAUGUAAAUGAUGUCUUCUCAUGGCAAUCUGGUAUCUCCAGGAGAAAAUAACGACUGAAAAAUGGAACAUACAGUCAACACAUAGAAGUUUAUUCAGCAACUGGCUCAUGAAAGCAUUCAUUGGAGACUUCCUUGAAUAUUCUAAGAAUUUCUGCCAAGACGUGGACAUAUUCGGGGAUGUUUUGAGACUGGAGUGUAUAUGGUGGUGAUAGAAACUGUGAACUCUCGAGGGCUUGGGGAUAGCAUUGGAGAGCUGAAGGUGAAAAGAUGCGGUGUCAUACAGAGAUGAGAGUCCACAUGAUUAGCGAUGUCAAGGAGUUUUAAAUUUCUUGUAGUGGAUGACAAUAACAACAAAAAAGAGGAAAUAGGAACAUGGUACAGCAGUACCACUUUCCAAGGCAGAAGGAUCAAAGUCCUUCCAUCAGUACCAAGGCACUGGUUCCCCCAACUGUUGGAAGCACCUGGGAGAAGGUGAGGAGACCUAAAUCCCUUCAAGGACAUGGAGCCUGGCUGAAGGUGAGCCUGGCUGAAGGUGAGUCCCUCCCUAGGGACACCUCAUGUCCAAAAGUCAAAGUCAAGUACAAAAGCCCACCUCCUUGCCUCACUUAAGGAAUUCCUGAAGGCUUGUUUGAGCCUUGGACCUCUUCGCGGACCCCACUGAAGCUUCCAUCACCAUCUCCAGCACAGUUCAGCACCCUCUGUUCAAUCCCGCUUUCUUCUCUCCCUUACAGGUGUUCUCAAGGGCAUUCACCAGUGGUCUUUCCACAUGGAUGCCUCUACCUCAGAGCCUCUUGCCUGGGGAAACUGCUCUAUGCUAGACCAGAAGUAUGUCUAGGAUGCAAACUGUAAAAUGAUAUUGGCCGGCAGUACCAGGGAUCAAAGUCAUGACCUUGAGCUUGGCCAGGCAAGCGCUUAUGCCACUUAACUAAACCCCUAGCCUAAAAUGGGAUUUUGGAACUGCAUUACCAACCAGUCAAUCACCAAUAAGGAUAUCAUCACAGGUAGCAAGUGGAGUUUCAUAAUUCUUGGCAUGCUGUGACUGCAAAAUGUUACCAGUGGAGAAGCUGGGAUGGAAUAUCGGUAGAGGAUAAUGAGGGCAAUAUCUCAGGCAUUUGAAAGGUUUAUAGGAAGUUGUAAUUACAUGGAAUCUGUUGGCUGCUGCUGGGGGCUAUUUUUAUACUAGGGAAACAUAAUAAAAGGUGCGAAGGUGAUUAACUACCGAUGUAAGAUGAACUGUGGACAUCAGAAAACUUCCCUGGAAGAAUAUGAAGGACUCAUUUCUUGUAGUCACAGGGGAGACAGAGAGGUCAGACCCAGGACUUAAUUACAACAGAGGUAGAAUUUUAGAGAAGGUAGAAUUUUCAUGGCAUCUUUGUAUGUGUAGCUUAAAGUACUGUUUGGGAAAAAAUAGGAUGAGGUCAUUUGGGUCAAUGAAUUAGGAAACCUGAAACUUUGAAAUCCCAUUAUUUGGGGUCUGUGGAGGUGCCCUGGGCUUUCCUGCUCAACCCUUCUGCUCCCCACCUGGCUCAAGGCAAUUCAGAGGCUUCUAGCUUACACACCAACCAUUCCCACUUCAGGAAACCCUCAACGUCCCUCCUGGCCAUCAGAACAGUAACUAUAGUAUGCUGAGAGCAGGGGAAAGAGGGAGAAGCCCAUCGUCAGCUCCUGUGUACUUUGGAACUUGCCCUCAUUCCUGAUAUGCUGGCUUCCAAGCUACCACCUCGAGGAUCACAGCACUGUAGCACACAACGUAUCACUCAAGGUCCUUAACUUUUAUUUACAUGAGGCAAAACAGCAAAACAGAAGAUCUCUUAUAGUUGCCAAAACUAUAUAAAAUUUGUUUUGCAAAUUUGAUGCCUUCUUCGUAGGAAUACUUCACGGAGGCCUGGACUGAGUAGAUACUGGUCUCCAGAGCAAGGACUGAGAGGACUAAACCCGGAGUCUCCUGCAUGCGAGGCAAGUGCUCUACCAGGGUUACAGCCCUCGGCCUUUCGUUUAUUUUUCAUUUGGCCACAGGGUCCCAGGCUGGUCUUGAACUUGCAACCCUCCUACCUCAGCCACAAGAGUAAGUAAUUGGAAUUACGAGCAUGUGAAAUGACAUCUGGCCAAUGAAGCAACUUGUAAUAUAGAAGAAAGGGACCCAGAAGCUCUCAGAAUCUGGGAAUCACUUUCUUUACACAUAGCCAGACCACGGGGAACUUGAUCCUAUAAUGCAGGGGUAGCAGAUUCUACCAACAACCCACACGGGCAGGAAACGGAUUCUCCUCUAGAGCCUCCAGAAAGCACCACCAGCAGCAGAUUUCAGUCCAGUGAGACCUCUGCCAGACUUCAGGCCUACAGAACCCUGAGAUAAUAAGUUGUGUUGUUUAAACUGCUAGUAACAUAUUAUAUAGUUGCAGAAAACAAAUACAGUUUGCACCUCAAAUAACUACUAAAGAACUCAUAUCUAGAAUUUAUAAAGAGCUUGUAUCUUAUAAUUCAAUAAAAAGCAAACAACUUUUCAAAGAGGCAAAAAUAUAAGUACAUAUUUCAGCAGAGGUUGUAAAAACGGGUAAUGAGCAUCUGAUACAAAGUUUAACAUCAUUACUCAUUUGGGAAAUGCAAAUUAAAAGCACAAUGAAUGUGAUACAGUGUAAUGAAAUGUCUUUUCAAAGAUUGGGUUACAAAAAGUCCCCUGCUAGAAUCUCCUGCCAUCUCAUUGCACAGGAAGCCAGGUUGCCAGGUUGUGAGCUGCCCUGGCAAAGGGUGGUGAAGCCUGCAUGGCAGACAACUGAGAAAGGGUUUCAGCCAACCGCCAGUGAGGAAUGGAAAUCUGGUUCAACAGCACAGAAAGAGUUGGAUCCUACAAAGAGCAGUGGGCGUGCUCCUGCAAACAGGCUCUCCUGCAGUCAGCCUGAAGAUGGCCGAGGCCACCAAAACUGGCCACUGCCUACCUAUGGACUGCAGGCUUGAAUAAACUCCUAAAGCUAGAGAACCAAGUUACCACAUUUGAAUCCUUGACUCAAGGAAACUGUUCUACAAAUGUUUGAUUUUUAAGCCACUAGUCCACAAAGUUUUGGGGUAGAUUGCUACACAGUUUUCCAUAACUAUACAUAACAAAUGCAGACCCAUGAUGAGUGCAAUAAAAAAGACAUCAAUGCCAAAUAUAGAUAAUGUGGAGAAAUUAGAAUCCUCAAACACUGCUUGUGAGAAUGUAAAAUGCGCACCAUCUUGGAAAACUGCUUCAUAGUUUCUUAAAUAUGUAAACAUAAACUCAACAUUCAGCCCACCAACUUCACCCCUAGGACUCUACCCAAGAAAGCAUGUGUUUGUGCAAAAUCUGUAUGUAAAUAUUCACAGCAACAUUCAUCGCGAUAGUCAAAACUGGAAACAACCCAAAUGUCCACCAACUGCUGAACGGAUAAAGAAAGUGUUUUAUAGUUACAUCCUUGACUGCUCUUCAGUAAUGUAAAGGAACAAACUUCUGACACAUGCUACAACACAUGCCAGGCUCGAAAACAUUAGGUUUACUGAAAAAUGCCAGAUGCAAAAGAUUACAUAGUAGAUGAUACAUAAAUGCUCACAAAAGGCAAAUCUAUGGAGACAGAAAGUUAGUGGUUAUUUAGGUUUGGAGUGUGAAUGAGAAUUAACUCUAAUAGGUAGAAAGGAACUUUUGGCAGAAGUAAACAGAUAUUUAUGUAUUUAUUUAUUAGUUUCUUGAGGCAGGGUUUCACUGUGUAGUCCAGGCUGGCAUUGAAAUGGCAGUAAUCCUCCUGCCUCAGCCUCUCAAGUGCUAGAAUUACAAGCAUGGUCACCAUACUCACUGAUAAGUUUUUAAACUCAUUUAUCGAGAAGGCUGCCAAAAUCAAUAGGUACCUAUACCUCAUAAGUUGCUAAAAUAUAUCUAGAAAUGAAUUAAUCAAAAGAAGUAACAAGAGAGCCGGUGAUUUAGCUCAGUGGCAUAAGUGCCUGCCUGGCAAGUGCAAGCUUGUGAGUUCAAUCCCAGGUUUCCUCCCCCCAAAAAAAGAGGUAACAAGAAUUUUCAGAAGAUAAAUAUAACAUUUUAUACAGAGACAUAGAAUAAAAUCUUAAUAAAGAAAGAUUCCAUGUGUCUGAAUAUAAAUAUUUAAUAGCACAAAAAAAUAUUUUCCAUGUGUAUUGUAUAGGAAAUUCUAACCAAAACAUGUAUGGUUUUAUAUUUUAUUAACUAACUCAACAACAGGAUUCUAAAGUUUGCAUAAAACAAUGUGUGAUAAGUUACAGUUACCAAAACUUCAGCACAGUAAGAACUGUUUUCUGUAGAGUGCUACCAUCUCCAGAUUAAACCAUUGUAUAAAAGUGUAUCUCCACUAUUUAGACAGAAAACCUACCUUGUAAUGGAGUUCCACUGUAGAAACAUACGUGGACGCAAACCCAUCCCACACCAGUGUGUUCAGGUGUAUGCAAGGGAGAGUGAACAUGGUCUGUGAAUUGUUAAGCGCACAUGAGGCUUUGCAUAAUCUCAUCUCCUCUUUUUAUAAGGUAAGGGGCAAGGACCGUUCUUAAAAAAUAUUUCUCAUUGUGUAAUUACUUAUAGAGUUGAAGAGAAUGAGGUUCUAAAUGGGUGUCCCUGAUGAUGCAAAGAAGAAUAUUCAGGAAAGGAGGAAAACCAGGGGUCGGCAGCAUGAGGUCUCUGCUUACCCUGUUCCUUUGGAGAACCAUGAACUGUGCCCAGUGAACCAUGAACUAUACCCAACAGGCCCAGUGUUUGCUUGUUCAAUUACCCAGGGCAAUUGUUAAUUGUAAUACAUCGACUUGACUUGAGGAAGAAAUGCCUAGCAGAUUAGUAAAGCUCUGAAUGUGUUUGUAGCUGGUUGACAUAGGCCAAAAGCUGAGUAGGGAAGACCCACAACCAAUAGGCUUGUAGCCUCAAUGGAAUAAAAAGGGAAAGAAGAAAGAAGCUUCCCCUUUUUCUUCAGAGAAGGGCUCAUCUUUGCCUUUGAAGUGUUGAUGGCCAUUUUGGAUUCUUCUGUCUUUGAUUCCACAGAUGGUCUAUAGUGAGCCCUUUCACAUCCUUCUCAUGGUCCAGAAAGUUUAUAUUUGUAAUCCCAUGGGAACGUUAUUGGAAUUCUAGUAAAUUAAUCCCAAUCUGCCACUUCCAGUGCAACCCAAGAUGAGCAUAAAGACACUAAGACAUAUUUAUAGUUAUGGGGAGCCAAGAAGGUCCUAAGCCCAGCCAAGAUGAUGGUUCACUGGAACAAAGACCCAGACCCAACCUGGGUUGUAUUAAUGCAGGGAGUAGCUCAAGCAUGAGUGACAAUGAGGAAUGUGUGACUGCCACAUGAGCUGGGCCAGGUAGGAGGUCUGAAAUCACCUCUGCGGUAUGCACAGGGCAAGAAAUGCAGAGAGUAAUCUGCAUAACACAACUGAGUUAGUAUCUAAUAAUUUGGGGUCAGUGCUUCAGCUCUGAUGGACAAUCUUUUCUGCCCUGGGAAGUCAAAGCUUUCAGUUCCAGCUGACAGCGUGGAACAUGGCUCUCCAUUCCACCCAGCUCAACCGUGAUUUUCUGGGAGUCACUGGGCAAGGAAACGGUGACUGUCACCUUGCUUCAGAGAUGGCACAUCAGCUCCUCAGCCCCCCAGUUUACAUUGCUUAAAGGGACAAAGAAAUAUCCUGGGCAGCUCUGCACACAUCAAUACAUGGAGACAGGGCCAAGUGUAUCCAAAAUGGAGACAGUUAUCUUCUUUCAGGGAGAGUUCCCCAGGUGAUUCCCCACAAUGGCCAGUGGAACUCUUCCUCUUCUGAUCCCGCAAGCCUACCUGAUACAUCCUUUGUAUACCUGUACAUGUAUUUUAUAUUGAUGUUGUUCCUCUAGUGAACCCUGACUAAUCCACACAGUAAAUCAGCCCAGUCCGCAAUGUGUGGCAAGAAAAGCUCAGCAGAAAAGGAUGAAAACCGUCCAGGGUCUACAACUUCUUUCACUCCCUGGUGGCCUAAAAGAUGGAUAAGAGAGGAUGGCAGAGAGAGGAGGAAGGACAAGGUAAGUGUGAGGAGGAGCCAGUGGAAGGGAGAAAGCGGAGGUGUCAGUGUUGUGGCCUGGAAAGAUGGCGGGUGCCCUCCAUGCCUGGAACAUGGCGGAUGGCUCUGGGACGUCUAAGAGCUGGAGCACUCUCCUAGCAAUGGCAGUAUUGCUCAAUUAUGAUAGAGAUGGCUUGUGACACACCGUACAUCCCAGACUUAUCAGGAGAACUUAAAGCAAUUCUGCCUAUGCCCCAUACAGACUCAGUGAAGGUGUUUAAGGAUGGGGCAAAACUCUUAAAAAAUUCCAUAGUUGCUUUUGAGCUCUUGCUGCUGGGGGUCCAAGAGCAGGAAGUUGUACUAGUCACUACAAUAAAGAUGGCCGUCAUUCCUGAUAAGUUGGUUCUAGGCUGUACAGUGAAAAGAAGAAGAAGAGAAAACAAGAAUAUAAAACAGAAAGGAUCAGAACAGCCCAUUUAAUAGUCAUUAUUAUCAUUUCUCAUCAGUAUAACACUGUUGUCCAGGGACACUUCGGAAACUCUCAGAACGUUAAUGGGCCUUUUGAGAAGUAUCUAAGGUACUUGUCCAGGCCAGUUUUGGGCCAGACCUAAGUACAUCCAUUAGAGAAGUUUGCUCAGGACACAAUUAAAGCUGGGUUUUCCGGCUUCAUUUCCUAUCUGCUUCUGAAUGUGGCUGUAAAGAAAGGAGGCUAUUAUUUCCACGUCUGGUUUAUUACUGUGAAAUAUAUUGAGAAUAUUUUCUUUGGGUCAACAGGAAUGGUUGUUUUGGAAGUACUUUUUUUACACUACAUGAUCUAAAAGUUAGUUUGACCAAGAUUGGACGGAAUGCUUCUUUUUUAGCCUCUUUGUAUUUUUAAAAAACUUUGCUCAUUAUGUAGCAUGUUGAGGAUGAUCUAUUUUGCCUUUUACUAAAUUGUUAAAGUUUUGACAGAGCUAUGAGUCAAAAAGCAUCCCUUCCCUCAGCAGCAUCCACAUCGGAAGAGAACAACUGUCAUCCAGUCAGAGAAUGGCUUUUCCUAGUGAUUCAAAUAGACUUAUUAAUUGAAUUCUCUCCUUGGUUCAUUCGCGUUAACUUAAUUCUCUGAGGUCCUCUGAGACAGAAGUGGAUUAAAAUUAUGAUAAAGCACAGGUAAAUUGUGCUUCUGAAGGAAGAGGAAAAGGUGAUUAUUUUCUCUGCUUCUAGCUGCUCACUGGACAGGGAAAGACUCUGUCUUCCUGAAUUAUAGAGGUACUCACAGAUAGUGCAGAGACAAAGGUCUGUCUCAACCCUAACUCUGAUAACAGCAUCCAUCCUGGAGGCUCUGCUGGGACAGAGAGGACAACAGCAUUUUCACAAAAUGUCAAGAGGAAGCUCAAUGUAGACAUGUGCUAAGGCCUCCCACGUGAGACAGGGUCACUUUUUUGAAACACAUUCCUAUAAACGUUCACAAGAAUAAAAAUAAAUUACAGAGAACAAAAUUAAAAUGAAAACAAAGACCAAGGAAACCAACAAGAUUUUUCAAAAGUCACAAAAUCCAAAUGAACAAAUGGACCAAGGGCUUUGGGCAAAAUUAGGACCAAUAAAGACAACUAACACAUGGACCAGGGAUACAGCUCAGUGUCACAAGUGCCUGCCUGGCAAGCGCAAGAUCCUGAGUUUGAUUCCUGGUACAAAAAAAAAAACACUGACACAACUCCAGCACAGCCACAGCAAUCGGGUCAGGGUUCAUUACAGGGGUAACAGCAGAGCAUCAGCCUUCUGACCUGAGGCUCCCAGGGGCUGCUUCCCUUGCCCAUCCCUCCUGGGAAAGGUGUGCAUAGAGCCCGGAUGCUCUUGGUCUUUGAAUAGCGGCACCCACUUCCAGCUCAUACCAGAAACCUGCACGCGGGAACCAGGAGUUCUUAGUCCAGGUCAGGGACAGCUGUUGGCCACAGGCAAGAGCGAAGGACUGGCAUUUUACAGGACCCUUCCGCUCCGCAGUGGAGCCUAAGCAAUCUGAUUUGGCCAAGUAAUUCUGCAUUGCUCUGCUAAAUCUGUUGUACUGCAGUAGCCUUAGGGGUUUCAUAUAACAAGGAAAUGAAGAUGUAAAAAGCUUCCACAGUCAGCCCUCCAGGACACAGUGUGGAGUGUGCAGAGAAACCUGCAGACUCUCCUAAUCACAUUUGUAGAUAAGUAACCUUCUCUACACUCGCUUUCCGUCUAUAACUGGUUCCAAAGUGCUGACUACACAGAGCAUUGGGAAUUCCCUCCUCUCCCCGGAAACUGAGUUUUAAUCAUUUCCCCUCUUUCGUUUACCCACUUGAGUAGGGGCAGUGGAAACAUGAUGAACUGAUGCAGUAUUUUCACAAAUAGAAAAAGGAAACACAAAAGAUUUCUACCCACACAUACUUUUAAAAUCAAGACAUAAUGUAUGCAACCAGAAAUGCCACGCAGUUUUUUAGCCAUGGUUUUCGUAGCUGACUUACUGAUAUCUUUAAGACUAUCUGUAGUGUUUGUGUGCCACGUGGGAAAAGUGACAACCAGAAAAUAUUAUCUCCAGUCUCGUCCUUGUUUCUUCUACGUAUGUCAAUGGCUCUCAAAGAUCAACAUUGAUUGAGACCACCUGGGCACUUGUUAGAGAUGCAACUUCUUGGUCCCUAUCGUAAAUGCACUAAGUCAUAAUGAGGAGGGCGCUACAAUCUAGGUUUCCAAAGAUUCUGAUACAUAGUAAGGUUGGAGAAUGAUUGUUCUGGGUCAAGACAAAUGCAUUGGCUUCAUAGGAAUAUAGAUUUGCACAUUAAACAUAACAAAUCCAAAUAUAUUUAAUAUCAGCAUAUUAGUAUUUUCUGGAACCUGUGUAUCAAGUUAGGAUAUAAAUUUUGUUUUGCCAAAGGACUGCCUACCAAUAACUGUAUCUGAAAACAAAGAAUCUGGGUGGGCUGGCAUGCACCUACAAUCCUAGCAGCGGGGUGACUUAGGCAGACUUUGAAGCCAACCAGGGCAAUUUAGUGCCUCAGAGGAAAACAAUGAGAGUGGCUGGGGCCAUGGCCAAGUGUUUGGUCAGGAGUCUAACAUUCACCAGACGCUCGGUUCUACCUCUGGUACAAACACAGAGCAAGUCUUAGAUGAGUUUUCCAAGGGAUUCGAAUCACUAAACUCCAAAAUAGGCCCAGGAGAGCCGCUCUGGAUGUAGCAAGGACCAAACACUGGGAGUCAGGUUACUAUAGCCUUUGUGCUCUCAGACUGUGGUUUGAAGCUGGGGAUAUAGCUCAGUGGCACCUAGCGGUGCAAGGUCAUGAGUUUGAUUCCUGGUACAAAAAAAAAAAGCCCCCCAAAAGAUUGCUUGUGGUCCACAUGACUAUGAUGGAGAGGAGCUCGUGUCUUUUGACAUAAAGUCCUCAGCCCAUUUCUCUGCCACAAUGCACCUCCUCUAUACUAAGCAGGCUUUCCUCUUUCCCUUGGAUGAAUUUAAUGAUUUUUAUAGGAAAGAUUGAUUUUUUUUUGAUACCAGGAAUCAAACUCAGGACCUCUCACUUGCCAGGCAGGUGCUAUGCCACUGAGCUCAUCCCUAGCAAAACAUUGAGUCUUUUAAAACUCAAAAAUCUUCAUUAGCUCUUGCCCCUGUAUUACCAGUGUUAAAAAUCUGUCAUAUCUCCUUGUUCUUUACCUAAACAUUUCCAAGAUCUUAAAAAUGGAAGCUUUAAUGGCUGAAAGGAGUUGAUCCAUAGAGAUCUACCAUUUUUGGAUAAUAAACACUCAAAAAGUAGAUAUUUGAGUUGUUUCCAAUAUUUUAUAAUGAAAAAGCUUCAGUGAUCAUCACUAUGCUCCAAUCUUUGUGCACUGGUGAUUAGUUCUGUACAGUAAAUUAUCAAGAAGAGAACAAGUCACAUUCUGUUUUCUAGUUUUUCUUAUUUGCUUUGUAUAACUAACUGCUUUUAAAUCACUAAUAUUUUUUUUUAGAGAAUAAAGCCAAGGAAAAUAAAACAGAAUAAAACGAAUCAAAAUAAACUAUUAUAAGUGAUAUAGGAUUUCAGAACCUUACAAAAUCAGCAAUAGCUACCAUAAUGCCUUUUGUUGUCUUCAAAAUAGCUUCAGAUACCUUCAGACAAGCAAAAAUCGAACAGAACAGAAUAGAGUAGAAUUAAUAAAAACAAAACAAUGAACACAAUAAAGGACUUCAAAAUAAGCUCAUAGUAAAUCCAAAAUGGCUACCAUAAUAUGUCUCGCUAUCUUUGAAACAGCUGCUCACUCCACCAGAUUUAACAUAAUCAAACAAAACAAAAGAGAAUAAAACCCAACCGAAGAAAACAAUGAAAAUGAUACGUUUUCAGGCAGGUUUUCUCUCCCUGCACAGACCUGAAUGAUGCUGUCUCAUGGAGAGAGGCUUGGGUGUGGCUGCCCCCGACUGGGGCAGAGGCCAUGAUGCUGGUUUCCAGUGAGGCCCACCUCAUGGGCCUCAAUCACUAAUAGUUUUUCAUUAAUCAAGUUUUAAACACAUUUCAGAGUUAGUCACACACUUACUUUAUAACCCAGCAAAAUCAUUCUCAGGUAAUGACCCAAGAGAAACGGUAAUAAUGUCUUUUAAAAAGCUAGGGAUUUAGCUCAGCAGCCCAGCACCUGCCUGGCAAGCGCGAGGUCAUGAGUUCAAUCCCCGCUACCAAGAAAAAAAAAAAAAAAAAAAAAAAAAAAAAAAGAAGAAGAAGACUUGUGACAGUCUAAAGGGGAAACCAAGAGUGGUUACAUACACUACUGCCAGCAUGUACGACUCUUCAGUUACAGUGGCUGAUUUUACUUGUGUGUCCAUUGUAUAGCAAAGAAACCAAGGGGUCAUUCUUAACCAUGUCUGCUUGAGAACUGCUAAAUUCUAGAAUCCCAAGUAAAACCAAUUGUGAGCUACAAAAUAAAUAAACAUGUAGAGCUGAAAAAAAUAGAAAUAACACCAAAAAAUAAUUGUGAAAUAAAAUUAAUACAUAGUAGGUCAGAAAAAAAUUUAAAAGGCCAAAAUUAUUGAAGCGAUUUUGGGGGAAAAUUAUUGCUUUUUAAUUUGUGCUUAUUUCUGUAAAGGUUUUGCAUUUAUAUACACUCUAUGUUAAAUAUACUUUUUAUGGUAGUAAGGAUUGAAUCCAAAGCUUUGAGCUUGCUAGGCCAGACUUCUUCCACUGACCUACACAUCUGGCCCUGUAAAUUUAUAUUUAAAACAUUUUUUUUAUACCAUCAGGAAUCUUACCUCUUUUUUUCUACUAGGGAUAGAUUUAGAAGCUCAUCCAUGCUAUGCAAGUACUGUGCCAGUGCACUGUAGUGUAGGGUCCAGCUCUUUUUUAAUGUUCAUUUUGAGACAAAAUCAUGCUAAAUUGCAUAAACUGGGCUCAAACUUGACAUCCCCUUGCCUCACCCUCCCAGACAGUGAGAUUACAGGUGUAUUCUAGCACGCCUGGCUUUAAAAUAUUUUUAACUAAAUUGCCAUAAGAAAUAGAUAGUCCCAAACGGGGGACAAAAAUGAUUUUCUUGCCUGGGAAACAAAACAGAAAAGAAUAAUUAUUUUUUCCCCAUUUUUUCUCCAAGUGCUGUAGAUUGAACCCAGGGCUUCAUGCACGCUAGGCAAAUGCAGUCCCACUGACACAGUCACAGAUUAAAAUCAUCCUUUGUUAUCAGUGCUGUUUCACACAGUCAGUUCUGGUUCUGCUGAUUCUGGUACCCUGUGGGCAUUCUGAAUUUCAAACAUCUCUGCGUACUCUUGAUGAUUAUAAUUUUAAAUAGCUGUACAUGAUUGUCCAUUAAAAAGCUUGGCUAGGUGAAUUGUUUCCAGGCAGAUAAUGCCUUGAUGUUUGGAUGCCACCAAGUGGACAAACUCUGUAAUGUUGCUGAGACUGAACGUUUGUUUUAUACAUCCAAAAAUUUCAAUUUAAUGUUGAAGAUUAAAUAAAAAGUAAUUCAAAUUAAAAUGAGUUUAAAACAUGAAGCCCAUGCUUUAAGUGCACUGCACAAUGAUUCAUAUCCAUCUCUUGAAAUUUAACUCUGAAAUCACAGUCUAGGAAAAUUGGGCAGGUAAAAAGAAACUGCUGUCAAAAUUGAGGCCUUCUACAAACUAAAAUGACAGGCGUGGAGGGUACAUCUGGGGCUGCCUAGAGCCCAAUCCAAAGAAUGAUUAGGGAACUUUCAGAUGUAAACAGCCUUUGCUCCAAAUGACCCAAGUGACUUCUACCAAAGCAAGCAGCCCUGCCCGGAAGUACGAUGAUGCAGCCUGGUGAAGGAAAAGUCAUCAAGGAAUUCGUUUCCACCUGGGCAACGCUUGCCAACUCUCCUUAGGAGUCACCAGUGUUUUCUCCAUAUAGUUCCUCGCCUCUCCUGUACAAGCAUCACUAACACACUGAAAGAGUAACUGGCUGGAGCCCCACCACCAGAGGAAAAAAAAAAAAGAUUCCAAGAAAGUGUUUGGCAUUUUUCAGGAUCAGCACAACCACGUCCUUUACAAGGAACCCCUUGGAGUGAACCUCUCAGCUUUGCCAAGCAAGAGAGCAUCCUACCCUGUCUUAGGCUUUGAUCUCCACAUUCCUCCCAGGAAUUUUCUCUAUUAGAUCUUUUUCCCCAUGCCUCCUUGCUCAUAUAAAACUGACAGCCUCCACAGACUGAGAAGAAAGAGUUUAAAAUGAGACAAACUCCUGGCACACCACUAAAGGAACACCUAAAGGUGAAAACAUCCUAAGUCUAUAAAGCAAAAAGCCCUGGACAGCGAUGUGGUGUGGUCAGCAGAGAGAAGCUACAGAGUCAGACUUAGCAUGGGGCGUUGCCAAGCUGUCUUCUGCAGGCUAAUGUGUGUGAGUGUGUGUGUGUGUGUGUGUGUGUGUGUGUGUGUGUGCGCGUGCGUGUGCCCACCUUUUGCUUCUACUUUAAUUCUGUUUCUUAGUUGGAAAAACACUCAUGUGAUAAAAAUUUCCAAAAGUACAGAAGAAUAAAUUGUAAAAAGUCCCCUUUCAAAUGCUUCUGCUUGCUGACUUAGUACCAUACUCAGAAGCAACCAUAAUAAAUCUUGUGCAUUCAUGCAUAAAUAUUUUAUGCAUAAACCAACAGUUGCAUUUAUACAUUCUCUCCAUGUACAUUCUGUUACAUCAUCCCUGCUGUUAUGCCAAAUACAAUAAUGAUUUUAUCACUUAACAUACCCAAGGGUUUAUGCCAUAUCAGUACAUUUUAUUUUUCAGGUACUGAGAAUCAAACGCAUGACCUUGUGCUUCCCAGGCAGGCACUGUACCACUGAGCUAUAUUUCUGGUUCCAGUACAUUCAUUUUAGAGUUGUAUCAUAGUCUAUUACAUGAAUGUCCCAGAGGAGAUUUAAGGUGCAAUUAAAACUGCACAGAAUAUGUCCUUUUAAAAUCAUGUCCUUUUAAAAAUGGACAUUUACCUUGUUCCCAAUUUUGUGCUACUUUAUCAUUAUAUUCUUUUUUUUUUUUUGGUCUUUUUCCUUUUUAUCGGUACCGGGGAUCGAAUUCACGACUGCCUGCUUACAAAGCAGGCGCUUAUGCCACUGAGCUAAAUCCCCAGCCCACUAUCAUUAUAUUCUUACCUAAAAUCCUCUGGGUAAAUCUGAUUGCUCCUUCAACAUGAUCUGAAUUCACAACUUUAUCCAGAACACCCAGCUUGAGUGCUUGACCUGCUGAAAUAUAUCAUCCUAAAACAAAACAAAACAAAAUAGGGGCUGGGGAUUUAGCUCAGCGGCAUAAGCGCCUGCCUUGCAAGCAGGCAGUCGUGAGUUCGAUCCCUGGUACCGAUAAAAAGGAAAAAGACCAAAAAAAAAAAUAUAUAUAUAUAUGUAUAGAACAACAUGAAAUGAAAGUGACAGUUUUACUCUUUCUAGUAAGAAUGGUUGUGUUUCCUGGGUAUAAAUAUCUGUCAUUAAGUAAAAUGAACAAGGACCAUCCCGAUUGCAAGGACAGAAAGAUCAUUGCAGACAUAAUCAGAAAAACACAAUUCAAGCUCCAGUGAUGAUUUUCCAGGAAUUCUGUACCAGGACCAUAAUUUCCUUAUGAAUAAGGGAAAUGAUUAUGCUUACUUCACUAAUUCAAAGGUGAAAACUAAUGUGGUCUCUCUUCUUUUUGUAAAUCCCAGCACAAGCACUUUGUAACUUAUAAAUCUCUACAGAAAGCUGAGGGGAUUGAUUCCAGCUAAUAUUAUAAAAGUGCUGGCAGCAGGGAAAUAGCAGCACUACCCGCCUUACACACCCAAGAGGCUGCAGUUGAACAAAAGAGUAAACCUGGAGUUUUCCAAAAGAAAAAAUGUGGACGUGAAGAACAGAAGCAAUUACUGAAGGCCACUGCUUCAGCAAAUAUGUCUGUUCUGAAGCAUCAGUGGCUUUUUGUUGUUCUUGUUGGUGUUAUCAGGGAUCAAACUCACAACCUCAUACUUGCCAGGCAGGUGCUUGCACCACUGAGCUAAAUCCCCAGGCCCCUGCAGCAUGCUUCUUUAUGGCUGACCGCAUUGCUAAAGCUAAGAAGCCCUUCACUGUUAGUGAAAAGUUGAUUGUGCGUGCUGCUAAGGACAUUCGUCAUGAACUUUUAGGAAGGCUGCAGUGCAAAUGGUGGCACAUAUUCCAUUUUUGGUUGGCACCCUAAGUAGACAAGCUGAUGAAAUAGUAGAGGAUACUUGAGGGGUGAUCCUUAGAGAGGAUCAAUGAGAGUCCCUGUGAUAUGAAAUCCAGUUCUACCAGUGUUGUCAACAAAGCAACAAGCCUUGUUUGUGUUAGACAUGUUUCAGGAUGAUGUGUGUGGGGGUAUAUUAUGUGCAUUUUUGUUGUCCACCAACACCACAGCUGUAGAUUUAUUCAAGUUGGAAUAAUUACAUAUUAGGAGAACUAAAUUGAUCAUUUUGUACCAGUACAUGCAUGGAUGGGGAAGAUACCAUGACAGGUUUUUGAUGUCAUUACUCUGGUCAAAGGGAUAACUUUGAAUGUGAGUCUGCUUACUGUGCCAGUCACAGAGAAAUGCUGAUGAGCCAAAAAUUGUCAUCUGAACCUAAUGUUUUGCAGGAUGUGGUUAAAAUUAUCAGCCACAACAGUGAGCUAGACCUUUUGCAAAUGGAAAGGGGAAAAAAAAGAUUUAGGGAGAGGGAAAGAAGAGGGAGGGAAAGGUGCCAUAAAAAGGGUGAAAAUAUGUCAUGUAUAUGUACCAACUCCCUAUGAUGAAUGUUAUCACUGUGUACUACAAGUGCAUACUAAUAAAGAUAAAAAUUUAAGAAGAAAAUCAAA